CACGUAGGGUCCGAGCGUUGUCCGGAAUUACUGGGCGUAAAGCGUGCGCAGGCGGUUGGGUCAGUCGCUGGUGAAAGCCCCACGCUCAACGUGGGAAUGGCCAACGAGACGGCCCGACUGGAGGCAGGGAGAGGCCGGUGGAAUUCCGGGUGUAGUGGUGAAAUGCGUAGAGAUCCGGAGGAACACCAGAGGCGAAGGCGGCCUGCUGGGCCGGACCUGACGCUGAGGCGCGAAGGCGGUGGGGAGCGAACGGG
rnacentral:rRNA from 1 species